GAUCGGCCCAUGCUAGGCUUUCGCCCCUGAGCUGCCACCCAUGCUUAUACAAAUUGCUUCACUUAGAUUCUGUAAUCUUUGAGAUUGUUGUUUUGGUGGUCAUAAUCAUUUUUGAGAUUUGGAAAUACGGAACAGUAGUAGAAGACAUGAAAAUAAUACUUUACGGCAGUAGCUACAAUAUAAGGAGCUAUGGAACGUUAAUACAUUACUUGAGAGCUUAAAUCACACAAAUGACUCCAAUUGACUAUAGAGUACCGAAUGUAAAAUUACGUAAUUCUAUACACUUAGGGGGGUUAGCUAUUUGGAUAUCGUAUGUUGCCACUAUGUUUCCUAUACUAGGAAUAGAACUUAGGAAAUUCACUUGUUGAUAUCCAUCGUAAGGAUCAGAUUUCAUGCCAAGGAAUAUCGAAUCGAAUAGCCCUACAUACCUUAUUUUCGGACCAAUCCAAUUGUCACGAUUCAGCCUCCCUUCUUGGGUGCUAAUCUACAAUAUAAAUCAUGAUUAAGCUGACGUUAGCAUCUAAUCACUUUAAGGCCCUAUAAAACAGUAGCUAAACACUCGACGGAAAGUAGGCCCAUACAACCCUUGCACAAUGGUGAACCACCACCCCUUCCUUCUACACAUUAAUACAACUUCAUACAUCCUUUGCCAAGAUACCCAAACAGCCCCCAACAACAAUAUACAUAAGGCAGCCACUAUCAAUCCCUAAGAAUUUUUCAGCAUAAAAGGAGAAUAUUGACUCAAGGAUUUGUCACCAUCCAUUAGUUCUUGAUAAAUACAAGCACAAUUCUCCACCCCAAAUCUGAAUUUAAAGAGAAGCAAAAAUGGGCAGUAGCCUUACCUUAGUGUUUGGGAAUUUAUCCUCUAAACUUGUACUUCAAGAACUGAAACUCUCCUUCAAACUUUUACUUGGAAAGGGGGCAAUACUCAAGAACCCAAGGUGUUCUAGGGCUGCUAAUUGAAGCCAAGAGAGACCAAGAGAGAACUUAAGAAAUCUGAAAAUUUUGCAAGGUAAAAAUGAAGCAAAAGAUCUG
rnacentral:lncRNA from 1 species